ensembl:lncRNA
CCGCUGGCCAAUCAACGUUCUAUUGCCAGUUUUUAUUGCCAGAGAUACGGGGGGGAAAAACGGAGUGGGCGUGGCUCUCGUAAGCCACGCCCUCGUAGCGGACCUAUUGUAUGAACGGGGAAACUGAGGCACGAAGUGGGGUUUGGGGCCCCGUUAUGGGAGUGGGGAAACUGAGGCACGGGGCGGUACCGCAAAGGGGGAGCAGUGCUGUCACGUGACCCCACCCCCCCAUGGGGAAACUGAGGCACAGUUCUGAACCGUAGUGAUGCGUUACCUAUAGGGAAACUGAGGCACGGGGCCAUCCCAUAAUGCCCAUUACUAUAGUGAUUAAUUACCCAUAAUGCUCCAUUACCCAUAGAGAAACUGAGGCACAGGCCAUCCCAUAAUGCCCCAUUAGCCAUAGUGAUCCAUUACCCAUCUCCUAUGGGGAAACUGAGGCACGGGCCAUCCCAUAAUGCUCCAUUACCCAUAAUGCUCCAUUACCCAUAGAGAAACUGAGGCACAGGCCAUCCCAUAAUGCUCCAUUACCCAUAAUGCUCCAUUACUCCUAUGGGGAAACUGAGGCACGGGUUUGUUCCAGCGGGGGAUCCACGACUCCCAGUGGGAGAUCCAUGGCACCCAGUGUGGGAUCCAUGACUCCCAGUGGGGAAACUGAGGCACAGAGCCGUACCGUAGCGCUCCAUUACGCAUGGGGGAAACCGAGGCCCGGCCCGACCCGCUGGGAUCCCCACACCUCCCGGCGGGGUCCCCGAGGCCCGGCCCUACCCUGCGGUCCCGUUGCCCCCGAACUGCUUCCUCUCCAGCCGGUCCUUGUACUGCAGCUCGGGGGUCGCCAUCCUCUCGCACCUCUCCCUCUCGGCCGGCCCCAAAUCCGCCCUGAGCGCGUAGCCGACCACGGCGGCCGCCCCCCGACCGGGCUGGAAAGGCUUCAGCUUCCCGUCGGUGAUGGAGGGUCCCGGCAGGGGUCCCCCCCCCCUCAAGCAACGCCUGGCCAAAGCCUCGCGCCGCCCGCGCAGCCGCUCCACCUCCUCCCGCAUCCUGCGGGGGCCGAAUUCCGCCACCUUCCUCCAAAAGGAGCGGUUGAAGUGGACGUACAGGGCCCAGUCCAAGGCGUUCCAUUCCCUCAGCCGCUCCGUCUCCCGGCCGGACAAAGGGCGGACGGAGUUCUUCGCCCUGCCAUUUUGGGGGAAAGCCACGACGGCCUCGCGGGGCCAGCAGAGCGCGUGGCGCAGCAGCACCAGCGACUCGUCGAAGUAUUCGGCCAGCAGGACCAGGGGGAAAACGGCGUCACGUACAGGGCCCAGUCCAAGGCGUUCCAUUCCCUCAGCCGCUCCGUCUCCCGGCCGGACAAAGGGCGGACGGAGUUCUUCGCCCUGCCAUUUUGGGGGAAAGCCACGACGGCCUCGCGGGGCCAGCAGAGCGCGUGGCGCAGCAGCACCAGCGACUCGUCGAAGUAUUCGGCCAGCAGGACCAGGGGGAAAACGGCGUCAAGGGCUACGGGGACAGGAGGAAGGCGGAGCGGGACGGAGCGCGGCGGAAAGCCGGCACGGCGGCGCGGUAGUAGGAAAACGCCGACUCGGCGGCCGUGGCCGGAUCGCGGGCGAUGGAGAAGUAGAAACUGUCGGGGGGCAUCACGCGGCGGACCUGGGGGGGGAGGGGGGGGACCCACAUUGACCCCCAAUGAC